AUGGCCGCUAUCCAACCCUUGAGCCCUUUCUCUAGAAGUUCCAAAUUCGUGGGCUCGGAUUCAACUAUCGUCCCUGCCCGAAUCCUGCCCAGACCCCGGGGAGUCACUCGUAGUGCCAUGGCGUCGCCUACCGGCAGCAGCCGCUCCUCCAAAAUCCCGGAGUUCCUGGCGGGUUCCGGCGGCCGGCCGGUGCCGGCCCUGGGGAUCGGCACGGCGUCGUUCCCGUUCGUGGCAGAGGACGUCAAGAACGCCGUGCUCGCCGCGUUGGAGCUCGGCUACCGCCACCUCGACACAGCCUCGGUUUACCCCUCCGAGCACCUCGUCGGCGAGGCAGUGGCGGAGGCGGGGCGGCGCGGGGUCAUAGCGUCCCGCGAGGAGGUGUUCGUGACGACCAAGGUGUGGUGCACGCAAUGCCACCCGGAUCUCGUGCUCCCUUCCCUCAAGGAAAGCUUGCAAAACCUUCAAAUGGAAUAUGUUGAUUUGUACUUGGUCCACUGGCCUAUGAGCGUAAAGCCCAGCAAACCACACUUCCCAAUGAAAAGGGAAGACAUCGUCCAGAUGGACUUGAAAGGCGUAUGGCAGGCAAUGGAGGAAUGUCAUCGCCUUGGCCUUGCUAAGAUGAUUGGCGUUAGCAAUUUCACAACGAAGAAAUUGCAGGAGCUACUUGCAAUUGCAGAAAUCCCCCCAGCAGUGAAUCAGGUUGAGUUGAAUCCAGCUUGGCAGCAGAAAAAACUGAUUGAAUUCUGCAAAGAGAAGGGAAUUCAUGUGACUGCUUAUUCUCCCCUGGGAGGCCAAAGCAGGACAUCCAAAGUCAAUGCAGUGCUACAGUCUGAAAUUCUGAAAGAGAUUGCCGAAGCUAGAGGAAAAUCAGUAGCUCAGAUCUCACUGAGAUGGAUCUUCGAGCAAGGAGCGAGCAUGGUAGCCAAGAGCAUGAAAAAGGAGAGGCUUCAGGAGAACCUCGAAAUCUUUGACUGGGAACUGACCGACGAAGACCGGUUCAAGAUUACUCGGAUACCGCAGUACAAGAAGGUCACAGUGCUGGCGAUCCUCUGCCCUGAAGGUGUCCCUGGCGUUGAUCUUUCGGAGGUUGAUGUUGUUGAAACGUAG
rnacentral:rRNA from 1 species